UACGUAGGGGGCAAGCGUUAUCCGGAUUUACUGGGUGUAAAGGGAGCGCAGACGGCAGUGCAAGUCUGGAGUGAAAGCCCGGGGCCCAACCCCGGAACUGCUCUGGAAACUGUGCGGCUAGAGUACUGGAGGGGCAGGCGGAAUUCCUAGUGUAGCGGUGAAAUGCGUAGAUAUUAGGAGGAACACUAGUGGCGAAGGCGGCCUGCUGGACAGUAACUGACGUUGAGGCUCGAAAGCGUGGGGAGCAAACAGG
rnacentral:rRNA from 1 species